AAAUUGAAGAGUUUGAUCAUGGCUCAGAUUGAACACUGGCGGCAGGCCUAACACAUGCAAGUCGAACGGUAACAGGAAGCAGCUUGCUGCUUUGCUGACGAGUGGCGGACGGGUGAGUAAUGUCUGGGAAACUGCCUGAUGGAGGGGGAUAACUACUGGAAACGGUGGCUAAUACCGCAUAACGUCGCAAGACCAAAGAGGGGGACCUUCGGGCCUCUUGCCAUCAGAUGUGCCCAGAU
rnacentral:rRNA from 2 species